UACGUAGGGGGCUAGCGUUGUCCGGAAUCAUUGGGCGUAAAGAGCGUGUAGGCGGUCCGGUAAGUCCGUUGUGAAAGUCAAGGGCUCAACCCUUGAAUGCCGGCGGAUACUGUCGGGCUAGAGUCCGGAAGAGGCAAGUGGAAUUCCCGGUGUAGCGGUGAAAUGCGCAGAUAUCGGGAGGAACACCUAUGGCGAAGGCAGCUCGCUGGAACGUUACUGACGCUGAGACGCGAAAGCGUGGGGAGCAAACAGG
rnacentral:rRNA from 1 species